rnacentral:rRNA from 1 species
CUACGGGUUGCAGCAGUGAGGAAUUUUGCGCAAUGGGCGAAAGCCUGACGCAGCAACGCCGCGUGAGUGACGAAGGCCUUCGGGUCGUAAAGCUCUGUCAAGCGGGAAGAACCCGCGGACGUCCAACAAGCGUCCGCGCUGACGGUACCGCUGAAGGAAGCACCGGCUAACUACGUGCCAGCAGCCGCGGUAAUACGUAGGGAGCGAGCGUUAUCCGGAAUUAUUGGGCGUAAAGCGUGCGUAGGCGGUUUACUAAGUCAAAUCUGAAAGCCCACAGCUUAACUGUGGAGGGUGAUGUGAAACUGGUAGACUUGAGUACGGCAGAGGUUAGUGGAAUUCAAUGUGUAGCGGUGGACUGCGUAGAUAUAUUGAGGAACACCAGUGGCGAAGGCGGCUAACUGGACCGGAACUGACGCUGAGGCACGAAAGCGUGGGGAGCAAACAGGAUUAGGAUACCCGCGUAGUC